rnacentral:rRNA from 1 species
UACGGAGGGGGCUAGCGUUGUUCGGAAUUACUGGGCGUAAAGCGCACGUAGGCGGCUUUGUAAGUUAGAGGUGAAAGCCCGGGGCUCAACUCCGGAAUUGCCUUUAAGACUGCAUCGCUAGAAUUGUGGAGAGGUAAGUGGAAUUCCGAGUGUAGAGGUGAAAUUCGUAGAUAUUCGGAAGAACACCAGUGGCGGAAGGCGACUUACUGGACACAUAUUGACGCUGAGGAGCGAAAGCGUGGGGAGCGAACAGG